AGUCAAUGUCUGCGCUAAUGAGGUAAAAUACGACUUAAUCCACAGACUUGGCAGAGCCUGCAGGCGCAUGGCAACCAGAUUGCACACAAUAUGCAAAAGUGUAGACUCAGAUUUCAGCCUUAAGGAGAAUAGCUUUCUUUGGCCUGUUGCGUAAUCAGAGGCUGGCAGUCGGAAGUUGCCAGUCGGAAGUUGGAACAAAGGCAUCGACACAAAGGGAGCACAGACUGUGCUCGUUAUGUGUUCGUUGCCAAACGCCAACUGUCAUAGCUCUACGGAAUUACACAAUGAAACAACAAACACUAUCUACAGUAUAGACCACUUAUACCGUAACCGCUUAUAGUGCAGGACCGGAUAUAGUGCGGUCUUUUCAGACUCCCGUUAAUUUUCCCAUAGCACUCCCAUGUAUACACAUAUUGCUUAUACUGCAGUUGCGGGAAACGAAAUACCGGUUACAGUACGGCUGCCUGGGAGUACGGAAGUCAGCGGAGACAGCGAACGCUCCCCUCAAACAGGCGCCCCAAGGAGUGCUCGAGGAAGAAAGAGACGAAGUGGAGGAGAAGGGCACGGGUGCGAACGAACAGCCAGUGAGGCUGAAACCAGAACCUUGAGUGCGAGAAAAUAUCACGGCGCGCAUAGCGAGCGAGGGCCACGAAACUGCCAACGCCAGCUAAUGCUCGCUUCACGAUAACGGCAGUAAACGAAACUUCAGGGAGGGAACGGGCGGCGCCGGCACGGCACGGCGAAGGGCGCACGCGGAAACCUUGGAAUGUGAGGGAGGAGGGUGGCAGGGAAGCAGAUUUCGCCUCGGCAACUCCGCCGCUUCGGUGGCUCCCCUCGCCCUCCCUCGUAGCUCCCUCACUUUCGGCUGUCACCGUGCGCACCCGCAGGCGCCGCCGCUCCAGCCGGCCCGGCGCCAGCCCCCCGAAGUUUCGUUUUCUGACGUUAUCGGGAAGCGGGCGCUUGCAGGCGUGGGCAGUUUCGUUGGCCCGGCCUGGGAUAGCACCGCUACUUCCCUCUGCGCCGUAGCCGCAGCGUGCAAGGUCAACACGUGACUAAAAAGUAGAGGAAGCAUAAAGGAGAAAGAAGGGUUCACUGCCAUUUUCUACGCGUGGCUACGGUAGCGUGGCUGAGACGUCGGCACGUACACGCAUGUUCCGGCGCAACGCAGAAUCGGCGUCCUUGCCAUUUGAGAGGGGGUAAAAUUUCCGCCGCGUUUUUAUUUAUUUUUUUAAAUCUUUUUUUGUUUUGUUCGCAUGCGACAUUGAGGGGUCUCUCCUAAGCUUUUACUCUAUGGCGGUGCCGGAGCAAUGCCGGUCGGAGGCGCCACCACGUGAUUUGGUUCGAAUUCACGAGAUUCCACUGUAAAUUGAAUGCAAACGUUCUAGCCACAUUCCUCGACUGUCGCAUACGCGUGGCGGCUCGGUGCACAUGUUUUGCAUGUGUGUGGGCCUUGAAAACUGUUGCUUUGGUUAUAGUGCGGUACCACCGCUUGCAUAGUGCGGAUAUUCGCGACUCCGGCGACUUACGUUAUAAGCGGUAUACACUGUAUAUAUCCUCACUGCAACAAAUAUACGUUGUCAAGCACAUCAUUCCUUUAAUAAAGCAAAUAGCCUCCUCAAAGUGUUUUGCUAUCUGCUUCCGUUGACAAUCAUCGUUUACAGUUUCUGCACAAAUUUUUUUUACUUCCUUCAUUACUGAGAGCAGUUCAUUUAAAUUUUUCUUUAGGAAUCUCAUUUGAUGGCCAGGUUGUGCAAGGAGUUGGGUUGUCAGAAUGAAAGUUUUCAGCUUCUCACAAUCUUCUACCGCAAAUGUUGUCGCAGCACGGUCAUGUGAUUACAACAGCGCCUAAAAUUGGGAGUUUUUCGGAUAAAUCUGAAUCAUCAA